rnacentral:rRNA from 1 species
GACGAACGCUGGCGGGAUGCCUUACACAUGCAAGUCGAACGGCGUGGCGAACGGGUGAGUAAUGUAUCGGAACGUGCCCAGUAGCGGGGGAUAACUACGCGAAAGCGUAGCUAAUACCGCAUGCUAUUGGAGCGGCAGAUAUCGGAUUGGCUAGUUGGUGGGGUAACGGCUAACCAAGGCGACGGUCCGUAGCCGGCUUGAGAGGACGACCAGCAACACGGGGACUGAGACACGGCCCAGACUCCGACGGGAGGCAGCAGUGGGGAAUUUUGGACAAUGGGGGAAACCCUGAUCCAGCCAUCCCGCGUGUGCGAUGAAGGCCUUCGGGUUGUAAAGCACUGUUGGGAGGAAAGCGGUACCUGCAGAAUAAGCACCGGCUAACUACGUGCCAGCAGCCGCGGUAAUUC